CCCUGGUAGAUCAGAUGGUAAAGUGUCUGCUUGUAAUGCAGAAAACCUGGGUUCGAUCCCUGGAACAGGAA
rnacentral:tRNA from 1 species